GCGGCGGACGGGUGAGUAACACGUGGGUAACCUACCUAUAAGACUGGGAUAACUUCGGGAAACCGGAGCUAAUACCGGAUAACAUUUGGAACCGCAUGGUUCUAAAGUGAAAGAUGGUUUUGCUAUCACUUAUAGAUGGACCCGCGCCGUAUUAGCUAGUUGGUAAGGUAACGGCUUACCAAGGCGACGAUACGUAGCCGACCUGAGAGGGUGAUCGGCCACACUGGAACUGAGACACGGUCCAGACUCCUACGGGAGGCAGCAGUAGGGAAUCUUCCGCAAUGGGCGAAAGCCUGACGGAGCAACGCCGCGUGAGUGAUGAAGGGUUUCGGCUCGUAAAACUCUGUUAUUAGGGAAGAACAAACGUGUAAGUAACUGUGCACGUCUUGACGGUACCUAAUCAGAAAGCCACGGCUAACUACGUGCCAGCAGCCGCGGUAAUACGUAGGUGGCAAGCGUUAUCCGGAAUUAUUGGGCGUAAAGCGCGCGUAGGCGGUUUCUUAAGUCUGAUGUGAAAGCCCACGGCUCAACCGUGGAGGGUCAUUGGAAACUGGGAAACUUGAGUACAGAAGAGGAAAGUGGAAUUCCAUGUGUAGCGGUGAAAUGCGCAGAGAUAUGGAGGAACACCAGUGGCGAAGGCGACUUUCUGGUCUGUAACUGACGCUGAUGUGCGAAAGCGUGGGGAUCAAACAGGAUUAGAUACCCUGGUAGUCCACGCCGUAAACGAUGAGUGCUAAGUGUUAGGGGGU
rnacentral:rRNA from 1 species